rnacentral:misc_RNA from 1 species
UUUGCUUGGCUUAAAUUGAAUUUGUCAACCAAAUUAAAGGCUGAUUAUUAUAUUAUUUCAUAUGAUUUGCUUUAAAGUGGUAACUCACAUCAAUUUAAGCCAAGCAAAAGCACUACUGUCAUACACUUUUCAGAAUGGAAGAACUGUAGCCGUUCUUAUCAUCGAAGAACUUUGACCAAAGCAUAAUACCUCCAUACUUAGGUGACUUCUUUAUUUCAGGUAGAAUUCGAGAAGUCAGCACAUUCGGUGGAAUAUAUCCACUUCCGGCUGCCUCAGGAGCUGCCGGCAACCCCAAAAAUAUUUUCCCUGCAUUUAUAGAUGUGGUCCAUCGAUUCCACGAGUUAAUGAUGUUGUUAAUGUUACCUGAGCUAUACUGGCAUGGUGGAUUGUUAUAGAAUUGAACCCAUACAUAGUCAAAAAGACCAGUAUUAAGGGCAGUCCCUAAAUAUCUAUCAGGGAAUGGACAACGAGGAGCUGCAGUUAAAUACACCUUCUUGCCUUGCUUGCUAUAUGCAGAUAAGUAACGUGCAAGAUCGUCCCAGUACAGGGUUGAACCAUGCUCUAUGUCAAAAUCAAUACCAUCCAAUACAGCAUCACCUAAGGGACGGGAAGAAGAUUUUCCACCCAAGAAAUUAUUCCACAAAUAGUCUGCUACGUUUUUUGCAUCAGAUUUAGAGGCCAGGGUGUAGCUUCCAACUCCCCCGCCAAGAGAAAGCAUUACCUUAAUUCCUUGGCUUUGGCAACUCCUGAUGCCAUUGCUAACAGUAGUGCAACCUCCAGCUGCUGGGUUGCAAUGGCCGGCCAGGUUGAUUUCCUGGGGUUUGACCAUUGCCAAAUUUAUUGAGAAAGGCUAUGUUCACAUAAGAAUAUUUGCCGGUGGAGCAUGUUUGUGUUAGAGUUCCUUCGUUGCCGUUUUGACCCCAGUAAACAGCGAUUCCAGCAGCAUGGGAGCUGGGUAUAAUCAAUAAGAUUACUUGGAGAAGGAGGAUGGCUUGGAUUCUUGUGGCCAUUAUUGCCGAGUGAAUGAACACUAG